AUGGCAGACCACCUUCAAGUUCAACAUCAUCAACAACAACUGAAUCUGCCACCAGGGUUCAGGUUUCAACCGACGGACAUGGAGAUCAUCACCUUCUACUUGGUCCCCAAGGUGCUGAAGAAAGUCUUCGACACCACGGUGGUCAAGGAGGUGGACCUGAACAAAUGUGAGCCAUGGGAUCUCCUAAAUAAGGUAAACAUGGGGGAGAAGGGGCGAUACUUCUUCUCCCAGAAGGGUCUCAAGUACUCCACCGGGAUACGGACCAACCGGGCCACGAAGGCCGGUUAUUGGAAGGCCACCGGAAAGGACAAGGAGAUCAUCCACCCACCGACCAUGAGUAUCAUCGGCAUGAAGAAGACGCUCGUAUUCUACAAGGGAAGGGCCCCCAAGGGGGAGAAGACAAACUGGAUCAUGCACGAGUACAGACUCAAGAGCGGUAAGCAACCCACACCCGGCCUGCCUGCUGACAUCGCCAAAGCCACCACCAUUAAUGCAUCUUCCAAGGGGGAGUAUGUGGUUUGUAGAAUCUUCCAUAAAAGCACUGGGCUGAAGAAGGUGAUGAUGCCAUCAUCUGACAUGUCCAUUCCCAUGUCCAUGGGGGAAGAGAAACAACAGAGCUUUCUCAAAUCUAGUACAUUGAUUCCUCUCAUGGACUAUGACAUGUUGUCUUCAUUGGCACCACCGCCUCCGUUGCCUGAAACUUCUUUGUACCAGAUGCAUACCUUCGAGGCCGGAUCGUUUGCGAUGGGCCGUGCGGUACUUCCGAUGAUGAACAACCAUGACUUUGGUAAGCACUACCAACAAAUGAUGGCCUCACCACAGUCAUCGAUGUCAUCCUACAACCACCACCAGCAACAACAGAUGAUGGAGAUGAGUGUAGACCAGGGCUUCAUGGUUGGAGUCGAUCCUGGGUAUGGUUCAUCGUCCAUAGUGUCUCACGAGGACGUUGUGACCUGGUUGAGCAACAACAACCAGGGUAACGGUGGCAUAGCAACCUCCGGCGAGAUCUUGUCAAUGAACAUGGGCAUAGAUGGCAUGUGGAAGUAUUGA
rnacentral:rRNA from 1 species